UUUUUUGUCCCAUUUGGGGCAGGUUUGGGUAUAUGCUUUUCACAAACCAGAUCUUCUCACAACAAGCAUGAUGGUUUCGGUAGGGAACGCCCCAACUUUGGGGACGAAACGAUAUCCAUUGCCUCUUAUUGCUUUCAAUUUUUUUCUCGUGUCAACAUAGAACAACAGGAGUGUUGUGUUAUUUUUGUUGAUUUUUCGGGGUUCGUUUGGACAUUUUUAUGUAUUAAGUGAGUUUUCAAUGCAUUUAUGUGCAUAAUUCAAAUUUGAAGUACAUGCACAUGCUCCGGUGCAUAUAAAUUGGUUGAAAAAUCAAAUCUUUCAUCCGUGGGUGCAUGCUGAGGUCCCAUGCAAGAAAUGGGAAUGAAUGUCAAACACACUGCCACCGUCACUCGGCCGCAAACAUUGAGAUACCUGGUUUUUAAAUUAUAGUAAAUACAAAACUCAUCUCAAAUUAAUGAAACUUGGCAUUCUAUCAUGCAUCGGCAUCAACAUGGCGUUGUAAUUUUUUUUGUCCCAUUUGGGGCAGGUUUGGGUAUAUGCUUCUCAUAAACCAGACCUUCUCACAACAAGCAUGAUGGUUUCAUGAGGGAACACCCCAACUUUGGGGACGAAAUGAUAUCCAUUGCCUCUUAUUGCUUUCACAUGUUUUCUCAUGUCAACAUAGAACAACAGGAGUGUUUUGUUAUUUUUUGUGAUUUUUUGGGGUUCAUUUGGACAUUUUUAUGCAUUAAGUGAGUUUCCAAUGCAUUUAUGUGCAUAAUUCAAAUUUGAACUGCAUGCACAUGCUCCGGUGCAUAUAAAUUUGUUGAAAAAUCAGAUCUUUUGUCCUUGGGUGCAUGCUUAGGUCCCAUGCAAGAAAUGGGAAUGAAUGUCAUACACACUGCCACCGUCACUCGGCCGCAAACCUUGAGAUACCUGGUUUCUAAAUCCUAGUAAAUCCAAAACUCAUCUCAAAUUAAUGAAACUUGGCAUUCUAUCAUGGAGCGGCCUCAACAUGGUGCGGUAAUUUUUUUGUCCCAUCUGGAGCCGGUUCGGGUAUAUAGUUCUCACAAACCAGAGCUUCUCACAACAAGCAUGAUGGUUUCGGUAGGGAACGCCCCAACUUUGGGGACGAAACGAUAUCCAUUGCCUCUUAUUGCUUUCAAAAUUUUUCUCGUGUCAACAUAGAACAACAUGAGUGUUUUGUUAUUUUUUGUGAUUUUUCGGGGUUCAUUUGGACAUUUUUAUGCAUUAAGUGUGUUUCCAAUGCAUUUAUGGGCAUAAUUCAAAUUUGAACUACAUGCACAUGCUCCGGUGCAUAUAAAUUGGUUGAAAAAUCAAAUCUUUUGUCCUUGGGUGCAUGCUUAGGUCCCAUGCAAGAAAUGGGAAUGAAUGUCAAACACCCUGCCACCGUCACUCGGCCGCAAAAAUUGAAAUACCUGGUUUUUAAAUUCUAAUAAAUCCAAAACUCGUUUGAAAUUCAUGAAACUUGGCAUGCUAUCAUGGAGCAGCAUCAACAUUGCGUGGUAAUUUUUUGUCCCAUUUGGGACAGGUUUGGGUAUAUGCUUCUCACAAACCAGAGCUUCUCACAACAAGCAUGAUGGUUUCGGUAGGGAACGCCCCAACUUUGGGGACGAAACGAUAUCCAUUGCCUCUUAUUGCUUUCACAUUUUUUUCUCGUGUCAACAUAGAACAACAGGAGUGUUGUGUUAUUUUUUGUGAUUUUUCGGGCUUCGUUUGGAAACUUUUAUGCAUUAAGUGAGUUUUCAGUGCAUCUAUGUGCAUAAUUCAAAUUUGAAGUACAUGCACAUGCUCCGGUGCAUAUAAAUUGGUUGAAAAAUCAAAUUUUUCGUCCUUGGGUGCAAGCUUAGGUCCCAUGCAAGAAAUGGGAAUGAAUGUCAAACACACUGCCACCGUCACUCGGCCGCAAACAUUGGGAUACCUGGUUUUUAAAUUCUAGUAAAUCCAAAACUCAUCUCAAAUUCAUGAAACUUGGCAUUCUAUCAUGGAGCGGCAUCAACAUGGCGUUGUAAUUUUUUGUCCCAUUUGGGGCAGGUUUGGGUAAAUGCUUCUCACAAACCAGAGCUUCUCAGAACAAGCAUGAUGGUUUCGUGAGGGAACACCCCAACUUUGGGGACGAAACGAUAUCCAUUGCCUCUUAUUGCUUUCAAAUGUUUUCUCGUGUCAACAUAGAACAACAGGAGUGUUUUGUUAUUUUUUGUGAUUUUUCGGGGUUCGUUUGGACAUUUUUAUGCAUUAAGUGAGUUUCCAAUGCAUUUAUGUGCAUAAUUCAAAUUUGAACUACAUGCACAUGCUCCGGUGUAUAUAAAUUGGUUGAAAAAUCAAAUCUUUUGUCCUUGGGUGCAUGCUUAGGUCCCAUGCAAGAAAUGGGAAUGAAUGUCAAACACCCUGCGACCGUCACUCGGCCGCAAACAUUGAGAUACCUGGUUUUUAAAUUCUAGAAAAUCCAAAACUCGUCUGGAAUUCAUGAAACUUGGCAUGCUAUCAUGGAGCGGCAUCAACAUGGCGUG
rnacentral:lncRNA from 1 species